CGCUAAUCCCAAUGAUUCCGGGAACAUAAUCACCCCCGAGGGAAUACGACAGGGGCUACAGAUGGAAGGAUGAUCCAGGACCAACGUUUAUGAGAGCAGUGGCUGGGGAGAGGAUGCUUUCUGUGACUGUACAAAGGGAUUUCUCUGGGUGAAACUGGUUCCUGCAAGAAUUGGCCUUUGGCUUUAUCAUCAGCACAUUCUAAUCAACUGAACACAUGGCCCAGGAAGAAGAGGAAAUAUAUUACCACAUCUCACUCAAGCCCUCUAGGAUCCUGGAGUAUUGUGCUUAAACUAGGAUGUGCUGUUGGGGUGAAGAACUCAGAACCAGACGGUUUGAAAUGGGG